rnacentral:rRNA from 1 species
AACGUAGGACGCAAGCGUUAUCCGGAGUUACUGGGCGUAAAGCGCGGGCAGGCGGUCUCUGAAGUCUGACGUGAAAGCUCCCGGCUUAACCGGGAGAGGCCGUUGGAAACUCGGGGACUGGAGCGCAGCAGAGGUGGGCGGAAUUCCGGGUGGAGUGGUGAAAUGCGUAGAGAUCCGGAGGAACACCAGAGGCGAAGGCGGCCCACUGGGCUGCAGCUGACGCUGAGCCGCGAAAGCCAGGGGAGCGAACGGG